GCCAGGUUCCCAGCCUCCGAGGACUUCCCGGCUCUUAUUUCCCAUAAGUCUGUGGGUCCGUUUCCGGCGGCCUGAAGGUUCUUGGAUUCGGCGUGGUGAGUUGCUAGCGUCGGAGGAAGUAAUCAGCGCCGGCUCGGAACCCGCAGGGAAGGCAGGGGUUGACUCCGGGCGGCUCCCGAGGUGAGGAGGACCGGCUUGCGGACAGGGCGUGUCGCGUUUGGAGCCUCCAGUCUGUAUGCGCGCGAGCGGCUGAGAAGGAUGGUGUGGGACAGACGGCGUGGCAGGGCCGGGGCGUGUCUCCGUGAUGGUGUGUGCGACUGGGACUGUGUGACGGGGUGAUGAGCUGCGUGGCCUUGCGGUUUUGCCUUGGCUGUGCGCUCCAAGUUUCUUCUAGACUCUGUUUGGGCCUGCCAAAGUGAAGUGACCGCAAGAGCAGGAGUCCUUCACUGAGCCCUAGAGGGAACGUUUCACGCCCGAAGGCGUAGGUCCAGUCUUGGGAUGAGCAUUGUACAUCCAGAAGUGUCCUCAUGACAUGCCGCUAGGAAAACGUGCUGGGGGGUUCCAGAGCUAAGAUUCCUGGAAGGGGCGCGUCUAGGAGCUCCCUGGGAGCCAGCUCCCUGUUUCAGAGCCACUGCGACCAGACCUCUCUCCCCAAUAAUUGCUGUCAGCCCCCAGAGAGAUUCUUGUCUUCUUUUCAAUUCCAUUUGGUUUCGUGUGGAUGAAGGCAGAGAUGGCUAUAGAUGGCGUUUUGGUUUCCCGGUGUUUCUGGGGUGUGUGUGUGUGUGUGUGUGUGUGUAUUUGCUACUUCUGUGCUCCAAGCAAUGCUGGUGUCUCAUGAUUCUUUUUUCCCCCUACCGCUGCUGGGUUUCUAAGAAGGACCCUGAGAAGGAAGAAAGAAUUGUUGCGUAUAUUGAAAUCAAGGUUCAGCUCUGGCUUUUCUGGAUUCUGUGCUUCACCAAUAGAGGAACCCCAUGGAUUAUUAAUUAGUUCUUGCAGUUCUAGAACCAUGACUGAUGUAAGUUGGUAUUUCUCUGUCCUUGAAAUAUUGUGACUUUUAGGUCAUAUGAACCUUUUCCUUAAUUGUCCUAAAGCCUUCUACAUAAUAGAACCCCAGUCUUGAACCCAGUCUCAGUUCCUGUCCCAGUAAGAGGUUGUGCCAAAUAACCCAGUGUCCUCCCUGUGUGCCUUCCAAUAAGUAUCAUCAUGUCAUUGAACACAUCCAACAACUGUGUGCUCAGUCUUCUGUUAAAAGCAGUGGAGGGGGGGCGCCUGGGUGGCUCAGUGGGUUAAGCUGCUGCCUUUGGCUCAGGUCAUGAUCUCAGAGUCCUGGGAUCGAGUCCCGCAUCGGGCUCUCUGCUCAGCGGAGAGCGUGCUUCCCUCUCUCUCUGCCUGCCUCUCCAUCUAUUUGUGAUUUCUCUCUGUCAAAUAAAUAAAUAAAAUCUUUAAAAAAAAAAAAAAAGCAGUGGAGGGAUAGGAGUCUUUUGAAGGAAAUACUUGAGCUCCUGUCAAAGAAUAACUCAAAGAAAUAUAGUUAACAAUUAGCACAUUUUUACUUGUAUACAAGGAAAACCAAGAGUAGAUUGAUUUCAUCUACCAAGGCACAAACAGGAUUUUUAUAAGGGAAGGAGAAAAGAGAGAAUGAAAGACUGUAGACAUUUUCAAAACAACAGUUACUCCUUCUUCUAAGGUCCUGAUUGGCAGGCAUCUAGGAAAGAAGCCAGUCAGGAUACUAUGUCCUUAGACAGCUGGAUGGUCACCCAAGAGAACGUUUUCGGUUGCUUGUGCCUUCUCUGGAGAGUUUUGGGGUUUACUUAGGACGUACUUAGGACAGUAGGCUGUCUUGGGCAGCGACCGUUGUUAUCACCUUUGUUCCACUAGGGCUGCACCAAUUCCCCUUGCCAGAAUUUUUUUAUUCCUGUGUCAGGUCUGUGGGGUGAUGACUCAAUGAUGAGGGUCUCAUUUGACCACACAGGCAAACUUGGAACUUCUUCACGGACCUGAGUUUCCCAGAGAGAGAUGGAAUUUGGGUUUUCUUGGCCUUAGCCUCAGUUUCUUUGAGGCUUUGCAAGGCUUUUAGGAUGAGAGGGACGGUGAGUGGAUCUUCCUAGGGAAAGUGGUGCUGUAAUUGUUGAAUACCAGUGUCAAAGUUCAUUUGGUUAUUGACCAGGAUGCGCAGAUCUUGGGUGACCUCUGUGUCGUAUAUGUUGUGCCCUUUCAGUGUCCUCCAACUCAGGAAUGAGGAAAUUGUUAGAUGAGGGGUGGUUGAUGGUAACAGGUAAGAAGGUGAUCGGGAUUUCUAAAUACUGGAUGAUAAUAGAUUCCUAGAAUGAAGAAAAUAGAAUUUUCGUUCAACCUAAAUGUAUAAAUAUAGUAGAGAUCUUAAUCUAUCUAUAUGAUGAACUGAGUUGCAGCUAAUAAAACAUCUUACGUAUUUACCAUUGUAAGAGAAAAGACUUAUAAUGUACUCUAACAGAGUGAUUUACUUGAGGCUUAAUGAUAAUCCUUAAUUUAAUGGAAAUCAUUUUUCUAAAAUUGAGAUUUUAUAGUGCAUUUGGGAAAAAAGAUUUGUUUUUUAUAUUCCUUAAAGGGAAAAGUUGGUGUAGCAGUUCACAUUAAUAAAGAAUUUAUGAGGCAGGCACAUAAUAGUUUGUGUGUAUGUAUACAUAGUCCUGUAUCUAGGGCUUCUCCCCACCCCACUAUUUUUUUUUUUNNNNNNNNNNNNNNNNNNNNNNNNNNNNNNNNNNNNNNNNNNNNNNNNNNNNNNNNNNNN
ensembl:lincRNA